UCGAACGCUUCUUUUUCCACCGGAGCUUGCUCCACCGGAAAAAGAGGAGUGGCGAACGGGUGAGUAACACGUGGGUAACCUGCCCAUCAGAAGGGGAUAACACUUGGAAACAGGUGCUAAUACCGUAUAACAAUCGAAACCGCAUGGUUUUGAUUUGAAAGGCGCUUUCGGGUGUCGCUGAUGGAUGGACCCGCGGUGCAUUAGCUAGUUGGUGAGGUAACGGCUCACCAAGGCGACGAUGCAUAGCCGACCUGAGAGGGUGAUCGGCCACAUUGGGACUGAGACACGGCCCAAACUCCUACGGGAGGCAGCAGUAGGGAAUCUUCGGCAAUGGACGAAAGUCUGACCGAGCAACGCCGCGUGAGUGAAGAAGGUUUUCGGAUCGUAAAACUCUGUUGUUAGAGAAGAACAAGGAUGAGAGUAACUGUUCAUCCCUUGACGGUAUCUAACCAGAAAGCCACGGCUAACUACGUG
rnacentral:rRNA from 1 species